CCCCUCGGUCCGGCGUCAGUGGGUUAUUAUUUCUGUGUUCCCUUCGGAGAAAUUUCUCAUCGGCACUACCCUGACCGUUGU
rnacentral:sRNA from 1 species